rnacentral:lncRNA from 1 species
UCUCAUUCUAUCUCAUUUUCCUUCUUCUCACUUUCUCUGCAUUCUUUCUUCAAUUCCAAGCAAAAUCAUCAACAAACUUUCUUUAAACUCACUCCAAGCAAUCUCUAAUCUCUAUAUAUCAUGUAAUCUUUCUUUCUAUCAAACAAUUUUAUCAUUUUUAAAAUCCUAGAUUUACAAAAAAAAUGUGAAAGUGAAAACUGUCGAAAAUUUAGUUUUAAAGGAUGGUGAUGAAAUAAGAGCAUCAGAAGAAGAAAUAAAACAAUCAAAUGAAGAAAUUGAAAGAUUAGAAGAAGAGAUUGAAGAAUCGCAAGAAGAACCAGAAGAUUCAAAUGAUAUAAAUUAAAUUGUUCUCUCAUAUCUUUCUUUUAGUCUUUAAAAACUCUUUUUUUUGUAAGUUUUACAUAUUAAAGUACUCAAUUUCUUUUAGUGUACAAGUUGAUCAAUAUGUUGAUCAACACUGUUGUGCGCAGCGGAAACUAAUGCACAAAUAUGAUUGAACUAGUGUAUGAAAGUAAAACAGAAAACGACAAAAGUAAACAAGCAAUCACACACAAGACACAAGAUAUACGUGGUUCGGCAAUAUGCCUACGUCCACGGGGAGAAAGGAUGAUGCUUUUCUUUCACAAGACAAUUGUACAAGCCCUCACGAAGAAACCGAAGUCUUCUUCCUCACAAAAGUUCUCUCAAACUCUCUAAUGGCUUCUCACAAUCUCUCUCUUAGAAAAGUUAAGGUUUUGAACAAUUCUAUUUGGCUUUAUAGUAUAGCCUUACAAUAGCCACGAGUUGGGCUCAAAACAGGCCCAUAUUGCACAAAACAAGAGGAGGACGUACGUACGUCGAAAUCACGUACGUACGUUACAACACGGAGAAGUUAUCUGACGUACGAACGCCUUAACUGCGUACGUACGUUCCUUCCCUGCAAAGUGAUCUGCCACAUUGGACGUACGAACGCCCUAAAGCCGUUCGUACGUUCCUGAACAAAAAAAACUUCCCCUUCUCCUGAAUUGCACAUAAAACCCAACAAACACAACUAAUAUUAUAUAUGUAGUUCAUGUUCAUCAGCAUGUUGAUAAACUCGAAUAGUUGUUGAUAGGCAUGUUGAUCAAAUCAAAUUGAAUUCAUCAAAUUAAUCAAAAUCAAAAAUUACAAACAUCGUGAACAAUCUUGUGUUUCUGAUAUUGGAAGGUUAUGCAUUUUGAGUGUUAUCAAUUGUUGUGUUAUAAUUUAAGUGUUAAGUUGAUGUAUAAGUUAAUCAAAUCAGUAUAUGUAUAUUGAUCAACUCAGUAUUUGUUGAUCAGCAUAUUGAUCGUAUAUUGGUAGAUCAACAUAUUAAUCAACUUGAUCGUAUAUUGGUAGAACAUAUUAAUCAACUUGAAAUUGGUUGAUUAACUCAAUUCAAUGUUGAUCAACAUAUUAAUCAAUCCUGACAUGUAAAACAUCAUGUUAGCAAAACAUAGAUCAUCAUGAGAUGUCAUGAGAAUAAAAAACAUCAUGAACGUAUUCAACAAAAGUUUAAUUGAAGAAAACUUAAUCCAAUUCAACAAGAAGAUGAACAAAAAACAACAAAAACACCCAAAUUCAAUUGCAAAGUUUGAUAAACAAAUUGAACAAACAAAAUCAAAUUCAUCAUACUAAAACCUAAUUGAUGAAAAAAAAAAAUCCAAAAAUAAAACAAGUUGAAUAGACAAAAUCAUAAUGUUUACUUCAUCAACAAUGAAAAAGUAACUUUGAUUUUCCAUUCAUUAAGUUUGAUGUUAAUGGAACAAAAAACAACAAUCUCAAAUCUCUAAAGAAUCUUCUUCUUCUUCUUUACGAGGGAGUACCUCAUUUAUCUAUGUUGUUUAAUUCAUGAGUUAUUCUUUAAUUCGCACCCUGCAUCAACUGCCAUUCACACAAUAUUUUCCUCGAAGCCAACAAAAUUAACUGAAAGCAUGCAAGAAAGAGAUACAUAACAAAUUAACCAAUUCAUGCUCAAUGCUAAUCAGACUUGAUAAUUUGAUCAAAAGCAUUGUGUCCCAACAGUAUGGAAAUAAUGUGAUGAAGAUCUGAUUGUUGCGAGCGGCAUUUGUGUGUUACAUUGCACCAUAGGAUAUAUAAUUUCUAAUAUUACAGUAAAUUAGAAGCUUAAAGCCUUAAACAACAACUGAAAUUCAAACAGGCUUAAAAGAAGGCUCUCCCUGCUAAGAAACUGAUAUUAAGGAAUAAAGUACAACCAGUCUAACAAACUCCCCAUUUUAUAUAUUGUUUUCUCUCUUACAAUCAAUCUUUCCAACUUUUUAGAGCUUUUUCCUCUGUCUCCUUUUCUGAAAUUUUGUCAUCUUGUACUAAUGGAGUACACGAACUCCCUUAUGGAAGAAUUUUAUGUUCAAAAUGAAUUGGCAGAGCAAGGAAGGCGAGGUCGUCAAGGGAAGAAUAUAAAUGAUGAUACACAAUUUAAGUCGAAGAACCUUGAAGCUGAACGAAGGAGGAGGCAUAAACUCAAUGAAAGACUGAUCAAUCUUCGGCUCUUCACGCAUUAGUUCCAAAUAUUACAAAUGCAAUCAUUUUAACCUCUAAAUAAUUAAAUACCUUUUACUCGAUAUACCUUCUUUCUUUAAUUUACUGUGUUGUCAUUGCAGCCACUUUCUAUGUGAUUAUAAAUUUGGUUUGUUGUUGUCUUUUAGAUGAACAAAGCGACAAUCAUUGACGAUGCCAUCACCUACAUUACCGGACUACAGAAGCAUGUGAAGGCUCUUGGUGAUCAGAUAAGGGAGAUGGAAACUCGGGAGACAGAGAAACAAGGAAGUGUAGGCGGCAGGGUGCAAGAGGAACAGAUUGAGAAACUGCAAUAGAGGUAACAAAGUCUUGUUUAUUAGUAUUCCUAGUUUAAUAUAGAACUGUUGCAUGAACAAAAUCUUACUUCAUUGAUUUAAUUUCGCCCUGUUGUAGGCUGAAGUAAAAGUGAUUUGCCUUGACGAGCGUAGGCUAUGAUUUAAGAUAUUUUGUGAUAGCAAGCGAGGGGGGUUCACCAAACUGAUGGAGAUUAUGAAUAGUCUUGGUUUUGAAAUCACAGAAAUACGUUACCACAUCCAAAAGCAUUGUGUCCCAACAGUAUGAAAAAUUAGAAUAAGGCCUUACAGCCUAAUUCUGUUAUUGUUAUUCUGUUCAUAUAUGAAAAUAAUGAAGCUCAUUUACUAAAAACCAGUUAAGCAUGAACAUACUCUGAAGCUCAAUUAGCUCAGCUCAAAUCGCAUUCGUAAAGCUCAAGGAGUAAUUGAUUUGUCUAUGUUUGCAAUGAUUCUUGUAUGUUCAGUACUGUUACCAUAUAGAUGAUAUAGUGAAUGUGACGCGCAUAAAAGUGUAUAGAUAAUACGUAGUGAAUGGCCCUGUAGAAGCAGUUUAUGAAUAUUUGAUACCCUUUCGUGUGUGUCACAUUCACUACGUAUCCAUCAAAAGGCUUCUACAAGACUUAUGUUCUACUCUGAAAUAAAAUUAAGCCAUAAUGAGCUGCAGCUACUAAAUUACAAGAUUCCAGUGGCAUGAAAUUAAAAGUGAGAUUAAGAAAAACAGUUAAAAGAUAAAAUGGUCUUUGCUGAUUAUUAUCUGUCAUUUCAUAGAGCUGGUGAUUCUCUACUUUCCUUGUCCCCCAUGAAAGGAAUCCAACAAAGAAAGAAAGAUGGUGAAAUGCAAGCAUAUAAAGAAAACUGUACAAACAAAAGAAGCUUUUUUCUCUUCUUUAUCACAGCUCAUCUAGCUACAUUUUUAGUCUAUGUUUGAUUUAUUAUACCAUUUACCAUACACUUCUCCACUUUAUUCUGAUUCUCCCUUCUUUACCAAGACUUAUAACUAUGAACUAUUCAUCAUGCAUAUCCUUCACAAGUGAGCAAUAAUAAGCCCUGUUAGUUAACACAUCGAUCUCUCCUGCUCUCGAUCGAUCCCCAUCUUCUCCUUCUCCCUGUCUUCUGUUCAUCUGUUCAUAUAUCCAUCUUCAGAGGUGCUACCAUAACUUGAAAAUGGGAAAAGGAAUUGGUCCUUUUAUCUGUAUCCUGAUCAUAGUAAUGGAUAUUAUAGCCGGAAUACUAGGGAUCGAGGCUGAAAUCGCUCAAGACAAGGUGCAAUUACAAUUUUUUUUUCCUUUGUCAAUAACAUGAUACAUGAUCGAACAUUAUACAGUAGCUAGAUACAUUCAGACAUUCUGAAACAGCUGGUUAAUUUUUUGUUGCAUGCAGGUCAAACAUUUAAAACUUUGGAUCUUUGAGUGCAGAGAUCCUAGUCGUCAAGCUUUCAAUCUGGGGUUAUCUGCAGCCUUUAUUUUAGGCUUAACUCAUGUUAUAGCUAAUUUGCUUGGUGGAUUUGUUUGUAUUUGUUCCAAAGAUGAAAUGGAUAAAUCCACUGCUAACAAGCAGUUAGCUGCAGCUUGUCUCAUUCUCUCAUGGUAUGUAUUAUUAUUAUAUUUUUCAUACUUUGUACUAAUAUAUAUAUUAUGCCAGAAAGUGAUUUCUUGGAUCAGAAUUCACCUCCAUGACCAUGAGGGGUUUUGUUUUAUGAUCUAGCUAAGCAUAUAUUUAAUUAAUCUUUAAUCACAUGCAAUUUCAUAAGCUAAGCUUGUAGAGUGUAGUCAAAUCUCCAUCACAGACAACUAAACUUGUAUGCUAAUGUUUCCAAUGAUCUGCAGGAUCAUAUUGGCAGUUGCAUUCUCAAUGUUAAUUAUCGGAACCUUGGCAAACUCAAAAUCAAAAGGAUCUUGUGGGAUUUCUCAUAAUCGAUUUCUUUCAAUCGGAGGAAUAUUGUGCUUUGUUCAUGGAUUAUUUUGUGUAUCUUAUUAUGUUUCUGCAACUGCAACCAAUGAAGAAGCCAAAAGAUCAGGUCAUCAUCAAGGCAGUAGUGCAGUUGUAUAGUAUAGCUGAUAUAUAUAGCCUGAUAGCAAGAUGAAAUCAUUUCCAUCAUCCUGUAACCUUAGUCUAGAAUGAUCCUAUUGCAUAACGAGAUCAUUUUUUUUUUUUUUUUUUUUUUCUGCUUUUGUAUUUUAACCAUUGAUUUCUAAUUUAAAUCUUUGAUUUUGAUUACGUUUUUUCUAAAUUUUUCUACUACAAUUAAAAUAUACCAUGGGCCAAGAUCUUGGACUUAAUGAAGGGCUUUAAUUGGCCCAAGGAAUAUCUGUCACUUAUUGGGCUUUAACAGCCCGAAUGAAAUCACGAUUUUAGGUCCAUUUGUUGAUGAAGAAAACACAAAACCAACUAAACUUUCCCCGAUCCAAAAUCGUCAAAAGAUCUCAAUCUCACCGUUGAAUAAUUUCUAAUCCAACGACUCUCACCUCGAUCCGUGUCCUUUAAUCUGAUUGGUUGAUUACCAAAAACACAACUAUAUAUACCCCUAAAACGCAUUCACUCCCACGCAAUUCUCUUUCUCACCGCUUCAGCACUUUCUCUCUCUUCGUUUCUUUCUCUCUCUUCGUUUCUUCGAUCUCAACAACAACAAGAACAACAAUGGCGGGAAGAGGUAAGAUGCUUGGAUCUGGUUCGAAGAAAGCAACAUCAAGAAGUAGCAAAGCCGGUCUUCAAUUCCCGGUCGGUCGAAUUGCUCGGUUCUUGAAAGCUGGUAAAUAUGCUGAACGUGUUGGUGCUGGUGCUCCGGUUUAUCUCGCUGCCGUUCUUGAAUAUCUCGCCGCCGAGGUAAAUUUUGAUUUCUGUUUCUCAUUAUUUAGGGGGUUUCGUUUAAAAAAUUUUCCCAAAUUGAAUUGAUUUGUGAUUUAUGUGUUGAAAUUGACAAUAAUACCCUUUGAAUAGGUUCUUGAAUUAGCUGGAAAUGCGGCAAGAGAUAACAAGAAGACUCGGAUUGUUCCACGACACAUUCAAUUGGCAGUAAGGAAUGAUGAAGAACUAAGCAAACUUCUUGGUGCUGUUACUAUUGCUAAUGGUGGAGUUAUGCCUAACAUUCAUAACCUUCUUCUUCCAAAGAAAGCCAAUACCAAAGCAUCUGUUGCUGAUGAUGAAUGAAUGGUGGGGUGUUAGAUUCAUGCUGCUGUAUAUGAUGAAUGAAUGAAGCGUGCUCUCUUUGGAAAAAAGUGUGUUUCUCUCUCUAAUUGAGUUUUUUUUUUUUUUUCUGUCAGUUUAGUAGUUUAGGGUAAUUGUUUAGUUGGGUAGUUUGUUGUGUUGAGGAUGUUGAUAAUAUCUGUUCUUUAACUCAUGAAUUACAAUGAAUGAAAUGAUCAGAUUUAUUGAGUUGAAUUGAAUUGAAUUGAUUUUAGAUCUUGAAUUUGUUACCAAUUGGAUUUUUUUGUUGAAGAAUUCUAAAUUUAACAAACACAAUCUAUUAAGAGGUUUGUUGCCUUUUAAUCAAUAUAGCCUUGUUUGCAAAUUAGAUUAUAGAAUUGUUGGAAUCACAAGUUUGUAAUGGAAAGCAAUCUGAGUGCAUGAUUAUUGAAUUCCACAUUUAGAUGAAUCACAAGAUUUAGUAUUAAAUGUGUCAAGUGUACUGUAAAUGAACUAACUUUUAGGUGCAUAUUGGUAUGAGCAGUGUGCACAAACUUUGGGUGCUCUGGAUGUAAUCAUGUUAGUAUUGUUCUUGGUAGAGAAGAUCAUCUAUACCCAAAUCUGAACUCAGUAACUGACAUCAGUGUGGUUACAAGUUUCAAGUGUUCAUUCAACAUCAAUGAGUUUGGUUUCAGUUACAAGUUUCAACUACCCAGGCUAGAACUGUAGCAUCUUUUAUACAGUUUGCUAAUCACAUAUCAAUUCAUGUUAAGAUGGGUUAGAAAGCAUUGAAAGUAGACAAUCUACAGUAAUUUGUGUUUUCGAAUAAUGGGUGACCGCUUUUUCUAAUAUAAACUUCAAAUGUGCUAUUAUUUGUUGAAUCUGAAAGAAUAUCUCCCCAGUAAUUACACAUAAAAAGAGACUUCUUCAAAAGCAAACAGAAAAUUUCAUACCUAUUAGCUAUUAGACUUUUAGAAACAAAGUCAACCAAAAAACAACAUUUAGAAUCAUAAAUCUAACAUCUUACUAUGUUUUGCUUUACAUUAAGAUAAGAGAUCAGUAAUACUUUCUUUAAUCAUCAGCAUUCAGCAGGAGCAGCAGCCUGCCAACUUGCUAUCAAGUCUAUACAAUUAAAGAGUUACACUAAGAUGAAAUCAUAAGUUUUGCUUAUGGAAAUCAAAUAGGUUGAACCAAUUUACCCAAAUCGAGUCAUAAUCAAGACAGAAGAUACCAAUCGAUUUCAGUUACUUUCAUCAUGUUAUUAAUAGAACAUUAAUUAAAACCAGAAGAACAAAAGAAAUCACACAAAUUUCCACAAAAAAUAAACACAAUUAAAGCCAAGCUUUUUUUCAUUCAAAAUUCACUUCUAAAUCUUGCAACAAGAUACAAAUCAAACUAAACAACUACGAUUAGAAAGAUGAAACAAACCCUAAAUGACUAAAUCUAACAUCAUUUUCGUGUUUCUAUGUUUUUUUUUCUCUACAUCUAAACAUCAGUUUCCAGCUUUCUUCCUUCAUCAGCAGGAACAGCAGCUUUAGAACCAGCUUUCUUAGGCAACAAAAGACUAUGAAUAUUAGGCAUAACUCCACCAUUAGCAAUUGUAACAGCACCAAGCAACUUGCUCAACUCUUCAUCAUUCCUUACUGCUAACUGAAUAUGUCUUGGAACCACUCUUGUCUUCUUAUUAUCUCUUGCAGCAUUUCCAGCUAAUUCCAAAACCUAAUCAAACAAAAUCCCCAAAUUCAAACAUCAAAAAUUUGAAAUCAAAUUAGGGGAAAAGGGUUUAGAAAGAAACCCUAGAAAAAACUAACUAACCUCAGCAGCAAGAUAUUCAAGAACAGCAGCGAGAUAAACAGGAGCACCAGCACCAACUCGUUCAGCAUACUUUCCAGCUUUCAGAAACCUAGCAAUUCUUCCAACGGGGAAUUGAAGACCAGCUUUGCUACUUCGAGAUGUUGAUUUCUUUGAAGCACCAGAACUUCCAAGAGCUUUUCCUCUUCCUGCCAUUGUUAUUGUUUAAAGAAAAUUGCAGAGAUUUUCGAAGAAGAAUUGUGAAUUUAAUGGAUUUCUUAGUGGUGUAUUUAUAAUAGAAAGUGAAGGAAUUUGAUUGGUUAGAAAGGAUUGACAAGGAUUGAUAGGUUUCGCCGUUGGAUUGUUUUGAAUAGAAUGGACGGUUUGGAUGAGUUGAAUAAAGUGAAGGAAUCUGAUUGGUUUGAAAUGAUUGACAAGGAUUGUGAGUUUUCGCCGUUGGAUUGUUUUAAAGAGAAGGUGACUGUUGGAUGAGAAGCUCAACAAAAGCGGUUUUGAAAUUUGUUUGUUCUCUCUCAUUCAAGCGGACGACACGCACACGUAGGAAAAGUAAAAGUUAAAAAUGUGCCCAUUGUUUGACCAUAUUACCCCUCUUCUCAACUGGGCCGGUGUUCUCUUAGCAUUGUGGACUGCAGAGAAUGGGCUUUAUUAACGUAUGUUAAUUCAUCAAUGAAGGUGCAACCAUGCCCCAAGUUCAUCCAUUUUUUUUUUUCAAAGCAAAUUUUAUUGAUAAAAAUUCUAAGAAUUAUACAAAGUUAGACGACAAACGCGCUACAAACUGUGCUGCCACCUAAGUAUCCACAUCGCCACCUCGCUGCUUGAGCAAUACUGCUACACAGGGACUUGCUUUCGCUGAAGAACACCAGACGGCCACAUCAUGUCAUCAUGGGAGCAUGGGCCUCCUAAUCACGAACCAGACCCGAAGGCUUUGACCCACCUAAGAAUUAGGUGAGAAACCCCAAGCGCUCCUUAUGGGAAUUGACCACAAUCUCCCACUCGUGGGAGUGUACGAGAGGAGUACCAAACCAACUGAGCUAGCAGUUCUUUGAUCCAAGUUCAUCCAAUUGAUUUAAGAUUUUUUUUUUAAUAGUCAUAAUAUAUUGAUAAAAAGCUAACCAGCAACAGAGCCAGCAGCAGAGUCAGACAUAUUACAUAAGACAUUGCAGAAAGUUAAAUCAAGGUUCAGUUGUUCAGUUAACCAGGUAGGAGGGAUAGAGAAGAUAUAGGGAUCAUGCAAGCUCUUAUCUGAGUCUGAAGCCAGAAGGUGAGCUGAUUUGUUCCCUGAUCUGAAAAGGAAACUAAAAAUGACAGAAAUAAAAUACUUAGAUAGUGACACUACCCGAUCAAGGAUAGCUGCAGAUUGCCAUGACAGGUUAACAGGUUUUUCAUUCAGAUAAUCCAUUGCAGCUUGACUAUCGGAUUCGAUAACGACGUAUUUCAGUUGCUGCUCGAUCCCUCUUCGAAUCGCUGUCCAAAUGCCUCUACAUUCUGCCUCUUCAGAGGUUUCUGCACACCCAGAUUCGGUACCUGCGAGAAUGAAAGAGCCAGUUGUAGUUCUCAGUAUAAAACCAAUGCUUGAUGCGGAGUCAUCUUCAGCUCUUCCCGUGCAAUAAUGUCUGAAAUUCUUUGGCACAUCAACAGGGCUGGUGGCUUAUGGGGACAAUCUUUCUGGACGAUCCACAGUAAACAUAAGAUGAGUCAGAACAAGAGAUCCAAGAACAAGGAUCCUGCUCCUCUGCAAUUUCUGGCCCCAUAUUCUGGGUGUGCCAUGGGGGAAUAUACCAAUUGGAGUAUUUGCAUGUGUGAAUGCAAUUUCCACAUUUAUCUUUACAUAGCCUGCAUGCCGGGGGGGUCCAAAUUGAAGCUUCAGAGUUGUCGUUGCUGAUGAUAGCCUGCUUACAUUAAAAUCAAUGGUGUUUGCUAUUUUUGAAGGUAAAAUGUGAACUUUUUUGAAAUUUUUUGACAUCUACUCUUCCAUAUUUCCCAGGUUGCAUAAACACAAAAAGAAAAGGGCUCCAAACAUUUGUUUCAACAAGCCAGUUUUUUGGAGGAUUAAUCCACGUGUUAAGCCAAGAGUUUGUGAGCAUGUUUUUGAAAUGUGUAAGUCUAAAAUGAAGGCUUGAUUCAUACCAAACAGCGUGAGUGUAAGGGCAUUCCAACAACAUAUGUCUGAUGUUCUCAAUGCUAUUAUUACAAAGGGAACACAAUUGAGAAGGAAUGUUUAUGAAUCUACCAAUUCUGGCUCUAGUAGGGACCACAUCAUUUAAACAUUCCGAUAGAAAUAGAAAAGAAUGGCAUUAGGAGUAGCUUCCACUUUCUAGAUUUUCAGUAAAAUGUUUAUUUUGGUAAUUGUACUUUGUACGUUUUUGCAGUUUGGUCAUAAAAGUUAUUUUUUGUCAGUUUGGUCAUAAAAUUUACAUUUUGUUAUCAGUUCAGUCAGUUUGGUCAAAAGAGUUGCUCUUAAUGACGACUUAACUUGUGACCAAACUGAUAACAAAAUAUAAGUUUUAUGACCAAACCGACAAAAAAUAACUUUUAUGACCAAACUACAAAAACAUGCAAAGUACACCGACCAAAAUGAACAUUUUAUCGAUUUUCAGAUUAAGUUUUGGAUUAAGGGGUUGAGCCAAGUUUUCAGUUACUAAGGAUCUGUAAAGAGACUUAACGCUAAAGGAUCCCUUUUUGAUUUCCAUCCACAUGAGACUGUCAGAGUAAUACGACCCUUUUAUGGGGAUGUUAGCAAUGUGAGUGGCAGUAUUGUGAUCAAACAUUUGAUUAAUAAGAUUAAGAUCCCAAAGGGCAGAGUUUGGGAUAAUGAGAUGAGAAACAAACUUAGGGGCAGAAUGAGAGUAUGAGAAUCAAUGGGCAAUUGAUUUAAGAUCAAUGGGCAAUUGAUUUAAGAUAAAACCAUGAAAGAAAUUGUAUAUAAACAUUUCCAAUGAACUAAUUCUUUAGAACUUGGAAAAUUUGUAUAUAAACAUUUAUGAACAUAUGCUAAUUCAAACAUUUUGAUGACAUAAAAGAUGUAGUAUUGUCAAUAUUUCCAUGAACACUAUUCAAAUGCACACAUAUUGUAUUCAGUUUUCAGUUUCAAAAUCCCUGGAGCUUGUGGUAUAUACACUCUCAUAAGCUGACAGUUUUAUUGGCCGCUAUAAGCUUCCAUACUCAUGGCAAUUAGAAGAAAAUGAAUGAAUGAAUGAGAGAAUAAACUUACAAACAAUAACAAAGGCAAGAGAAGUAAAAUAAUUGUAAUUAAAGAAAAGCUUUACACAUAAAAUGAUACAAAAAAUAAAGAAACUAUCAACAACUCUCUAACUAUAUAUGUUCAUGAGCUCGACCAGCAUUCUCAAUUUGCCAAAUCAAUGUAAACCUUGGAGCAAAUGGCUUGAUUCUUAAUGUUUUCCCAGUGACAUAUGUGUGAUUAAUUGACUGAUGUUAGAAUCAGAUGGUAGUUACAUUGGUGCUUCCCUUAAAAUGGUCCCUGCAAAAGCAAUGAAUAUCAAUUGCCUCUCAGAGCAAAUCUUGUGAACAAAUUAAUAUACAUUGGGAAAUAGCCGAUCGAUGAUCUGAUCUGGGAUUUAUCAAAACUUCUGAAGUUUCUGCAAGCCUGUAUUCAUGGUUCGAUAUUUGGAGCCGUAUUCAGCAGAAACUUGCCAACAGUGGUUUUAGAGCCCUACAUGAAUGGCAGAAACAUGAACAGAGGUAAUUAGACUCGCACAAACAAUCAUAAGUAUUAGAUAUGAUGAUCACUUUUCUGUCCUUGAACAUAAAGCCAAAGAAAUAGCUCUUACCAAAGAAAGCUAAGAGCCCUCGUCAUCAGAACUGGAGUUAUCCAUUCGACGAUCCAUGAUUGCAGGGAAGAGACGUUCACGCAUGUCUGGAGAAGACGGCACUGAUGGACUCUCCCUAGUUCUUGGCGUUCUUGCUGGUCUUAUUGCCGAAUCUUUUACUUCUUUACAUGUCUUUUCAAUCAUUACUAGGAAAUUUCUAACAAUCACAAACAAACGCAAUCCCUCAUCCUUCUUUGCACUUCCAUGGAAGUAAUCAGCAGUGCUCCUCACCAGAGCCAUUAUCCUUUUUUCUUCCUCCAGUAACCAUGAGAUGUCGACCUCAGCAUUCUGAACAAAACUCUGAAGGGUGCGAUGGAAACCGCUAUCUUCCUCUAAACUUUUCAUAUCUGAGUUUAAAAAUUCCCUGUUUUUACCUAGUGAAUGGCCAAGUUUCGCCACUGUUCCUGAUAAGCCAUCUGCGUCCAGCACUGAUGCCUUCUUGACAUUCUCAAGCUCUCCACCCAAAUGGGAAAUCACCUGAAGACCAAGGCUGCGAUAAUGCUCUUCUGUGUCAUGGAGGGAUUCCUCAAAAAGAUCUUCAGAUUUUACACUAGAGAGGCUCUGGUUCUCUCUGGCUGCACGAGCUGCUCGUACACCUUCAGAGCGAAUUAUCUCUUGGACAACAAAGUGCAAAAGGGUGGUCUUUCCAUCUAUUCCUUUCACAUCCGCUAAUUUUAAGAGUGUGUCAAGUUUAAAAGCUUGUGCACCACCGCGGAAAGUACCAUCAUUCAUGCGGUUACCAGUUUUAAGUACAGCUUCUAAGAGUUUUAGGAACAACCGGCUGUUUCUGAGCUCCUUGCAAGCUACCUGCCAUGUGAAACAAGGAAUUACACAACCAAUCGGUUUAGGAAAGACAUGUGAUCAACUUCAAUAGGCGUAAAACAAGAGUUACAAGUACAAAAGUAUCAACAACAAAUCGGUUUAGUCAACCAGUUUUCCAGAUAUCCCACCUAUAUUUAGCCUUUUUUAUCACUUUCAAGUUUCAACUAUUGAAUAUAUUCAUAACAUAGGCUCCACAUAAAAGAAAUGUAAUUAUCACCAUAGAAUAAUUUCUUUUUCUUUCAGCAUUUGAUCACAUGCUUCUAUAUAUUUAUCAAAACACUUUAGCUAAUAUCUCAAUUUUAGGAAGUUAACAAGAUAAUAAUAUAAGAAAGAUGGUGUGGACUAUCACUUAUCAUAAUUGUUUGACUAAUCACCCUAUUGCAAUCAGAAAAGAAGUGAUAUACUCCAGAGACAAUUCAAUAUAUAGCUGCAACAUGGCAGACAGCCUCAAAGUUAGCCAUUAGGAGGUUGGACUGCUCUACCUUACACCAGGCUGUCAGGCAAUGAGGCAAACAUAUCUAUCAUACCAAUGUAGUAAUACCAUUGAAGUCUAUGAAACACUGGAGCUAGGAUACUAUUAUUUCUCCAACUAUAUUGUAUACCCUACAGUCAAUGCUUCAUUUACUGUCUUUACAAGCAGCUUGAUUGACUUGGGUCAAGCAGGUACGAACAAAUUAAAUCUGUUUGUUUUAUCAUUGUUUUGGGCAGCCAGAACUUAUGACUUUUUUUUUUAUAAGGUUGCAACUUGAAACAGUUCACUCAACUGGGCACCAUCAAUGAAUGGAAUCCCCACAAUUUCCACCAUAUAUGUAUCCUCACUUAAGUAUAUGGCAUUCAUAGACAAGUUCACAAAGAGAGUACCCCGACCAACCAUCUGGAAGGCUUUCUCAAACUGAUAUACCGUUUACUUGGCUAGCAUAUCCCCAAGAUGACUCCAGACUGAAACUUGUCUACUUGUAAAAAGUUCAAGUUUAACCCAAGGAGAGUACCAACAAUGUAUAUCAUUUAUUUUCCCUCCCUUUGUUGUUCUAACUAUAUUAAAAAGAAAGAUGACAAAGGAACUGUAACUAUUGACAAGUGGGCAUCAAUUUUGGUAAGCGAAGAAAGACAUCAGAAGUCUCACCUCUAAAGUUGCCAAGGACUCUUUGACGCUUGAGACUUCCUCUUGAUAAGAAAUCAUGAAACACAAUGAGUCCAGUCUUUUAAAUGCAAAAGGGAUAUUAACCAACACUUUUAAGAACCGCUCUGCUGGGCCUAACUGGGAAAGUUCAUCAUUAUAUAGCCUAAGCUUCAAUUCUUCUUCUGCGCUUGGUGCCAUCUUCAACAAUGUCUGGCAAAGCUCCAAUGGAAGUUCAUUUCCUGGUUUAGUAAAGGCAACAUGUUAUUGAUAAAUUAAAAUAUAUUAUGACAAAGGAAGUAACAUAACAGAAGCAGUAUAUACACAAGGUAUUUCCUCUUAGUGAGAUGUCUACAUUAAGUAUUCACCGUUUAUACACAGCAUUCGGGCUUGGACUGUAUCUAUGACAGCAGUAACAAUACUAUGAUACUAUCAGUCUUCUCAAUACUAAUGAUCUCUUUAUUUGACCUACCUUGCCCAUUAGCAUGGUACAAUAAUGAUUUGGCAGUACAUUACACAGACCUAAACUGGUCAGGUCAGUCUGUAAAUUUUUAGGGAUAUAGGCUCUCUGUAGACACACAGGUGGCUGUAAAUUUCCAGAAUGGGAACAACAAGUUAGACAUGCUUAACCGUUAAAUGCCAAGAUAAACCCUAUCAACACGUAUCCAUGUGAUGACACAUAGGGGUACGCUACAGUGUGUGACAAAACAAAUCCCUAUUACAUAUACUAGUUUUUAAAGAGCAGGACUGAAGUGCUCACUCUGGCUGUACAGCUGAGGCUCUAGUCAGUAGGAAAGAAGCUGAAGAUCAUGUUAGUAAGGGGAUCCCUUAAGAGCAGGGUUGAACCAAGUUUGUACAAAAUUCAAGCUAAAUGAUACUAUAACAAGACAAUUAUAUUUGGUGAAAUGCUAUCAAUGCCACAAAAGCAUGGGAAAAUUUGACAGAUGGAAAUUACAUGAAAGCAUCUAUUUUUUCGUAUUCAUAAUAUCUAAAUAGGAGACUAAUGCAACAAUCUUGAUUUGUGUACUCAGGGUCAAGAUAACAAUGAAAACUUCAACUAUCAGCGAAGAUCUAACUCCCCAACGUGAGAAUAAUAUUGAACGAUUUCAGUCCAUGUUGAAUCUGAGUCAGAUUGGGAAACAUAGGAAACAAGUCAAACCCAAGUUGGGCACUAAGGACUUUAGGAGAAGUUACUUGGAAUCUAAGAUAAAGUCUUAUGAAUUUUAUCAAGUUGUCUAAAUGAUAAGAUUCACUCAUUGUAGCCCAGCAAUGCAUUGUCUGAAUAUGUGGGUAAGGAAUUUGAGGAAAUGGACGAGCACACACUUUGAUUCAUGAACAGGAAAUAAUAUACAGUGUGACAUCCUAACUAAUAAUUUAAGAUGGAAUACAGGAAAGUUGCAAUCAGGCCAAUGAUGCAGCCAAAGAAACAUUAUGGUGGAGAAAGAAGAGAGGAGCUUUUAACAUGUAGUGAUAAAAUAAAAUUAACAUGAAGAUGUAAUUUGUUAUAUACUAAAUGGAAACAUAGGAAUCUUGCCGCCUACCCAAGUGAAAAAGAGAACCAUUGACAAUGGUCAUAAAAUAUAUUUAUCAAUGGUAGAAGCACAACAAAUUGAUGGACCAGCAACCACCUUGAUGAUUCAAGAUUUAUCAGCAGUUAAAUCAUCAUAGGUAAAAGCCCAUCCACCUGUUUCUUGGCUGCGUUUUGCCUCUCUUCCAAAAUCAUCCAUGGAACUCGAUUCUCCUCAAUGCACUCUAAACAGGAGCCUAAAAAGAAUAAAUAAAGCGUGUACCUGAACAAUAUCAACUUAAAUGGAAAUGCACCUAUGAAGAGGCUCACUCUGACCCUAUAGUGUGCUAAUGUAAUACUAACAAAAGUCCACCAGAAAUGAAGCAUUAAGAAAAUAAAAUCAGUUUCACAUAUGAUGCAAUAGCCCCUGCAUUGAUGACUUGAUUAGAGAUGUCAUGAAUGCUGUAACUUGCUGCUACCUCUGUUUUUGGGUUUAGCAUGGCCAAAAACCCUUGAAAAAGUGUGAAAAUCCCAUAUACAAACAUCUUCAUGAAAGUUGUUCUGCAUGCAUGAGAAAGUAACAGUCGCAACAGUAACAAGUAUCCUGGCAAUAAACCAAGCUAUGGUAUUUAUCCUCCUUUGGUUUGAAAUUUGCUCUUAAUGCUGCUUUAUCACAUAUCAGUAUACCUCAACAGUAACAGGGAAUUUCUGCAUUAUUUUAUAAUUUCUUAACUCUUCUCUUUUCAUUUAAAUAUUAAGUCCUUUAAAUUGUUUUCCUGCGGCUAGCUAAGUGUUUCAACAGUAACGAAGCAGAACAAGGUACCUUCAUAAAGUGCAUCGCAGACUUCUGCUGUUGUCAAAUUCAGUGCCCGUAGAAGAAUUGAUAAAUUUUGCGCCUUUUUGGAAUCAAUGAUUUGUAUAUAUUGUAAAGCAGGAUCUUGAGAUAUCGAAUCUUUUUUCCGCUGUGUUUUGUUUUUUUCAACAUUAUUGUACCCAAAAAGAGUUUCUAUCAUCUCUUCAUUAAACCUGCAAAGCUCAAAAUAAUUUCUUAGUUUUAAAAACAGUCUCUGAUGUUAAUUACUAGCUAACAUAAUUUACAGACUUACUGGAAUGAGCCUGACUUAAUCUGAUGCCAAACCAUCGAUUGAUCAGGGUUUGCAAGUACUUUAUCCCAGAAGAAUGGCUUUAGCUUAGUUUUUGGAGCUUCAGAUUCGGACGCUUCACCACCAGUGCUCGAACUUUCUGGAUGGUUCGGCCCAAGAGGUGAUGGUUUAGUCAUUUUUGACUUCACCGAGAAUGGUUGGGGUGGACGAGGUGGUGCAUUACCCAUUGGAGGAGGUGGUGGCCGAGGAGCAGGCUUGAUGCCAGAAGAUACAGGUGGAGGUGGUGGCAUAGGAGGAGGCGGGCCAGCUCUCCCAGGAGGAGGCUUUAGAGGUGGAAGUGGUGUUACCGGAGCAGUGUUGUCAGAUCCUGCAGGUGAUUCUGUUGAAGGCUUGGAACCUAAAGUUGCCCCUGAUAAUGAAGGUCCAGUUUGUGAGACUUUUCCAAUAUCAGACAGAGUGGACAUGCUCUUUUUUAAAGCUGAAGGUCUUAUAUUGUGGCUCGAAGUAUUAAAAGGCAAAGUUUCAAACUUGUCUUUGCUGAUUGAAUUUUCUAUAGCACUGGAUUUGUGGGAGGAACCUGAUAAUUCAAAAGACAAAAAUGACUAAGUAGUUGAAAAUGAUACUUACAAGGAUAAAAGUCAACUCUAUAAUUAUACAUACUACCUGAAUAAUCACUUAAACUAAUGGAAAGGAGAGGACUAUCAUCCUUUGGUCCAUUUGUUGGGCUAGACUUUUUCUGGUAUUUACGGUAGCAGCAAAAGAGCAAAGCAGCAACAAGAAAUGUUGCUCCUGCUGUUACAACAACAGCAAUAACAACUGAUUUUGAACGAUUUUUUCCCCGUGGAGAUGACGGCACAGGCACAGCCAAAUCAGGACUUCCAGAAUUACGUUCACCAGCUGGGGGUUCAGCACUCGAAUCAGAACUCCGUGGAAUAAAUAAGCGUGGUGCUUCUGCAAGGGGUGGAGGUGCUUUGUCAAGAAGUUGAGUAGGAGCCUCAGAACUGGCAGGUGCUGGAUCAGUAAAUGGUGCUGGACCAUAACUAGGUGGUGAAACUCCAGGGGAAGGCCCAGGUGUUGCUGCUAUUCCAGACAACUCAUCUCUCAGAUAUCUUCUUGGAGCAUCAGGCCAUCUUAAAAGGUAUUCAAGGUAGUCAGCAUACCAACUCUUAGAACCAUCCGUGUCCGCAAAUAUAUGAAACACAAUAUUCUGCUUUGUUAAACAAUCUACAAGAGAUUGUUUCAUUUUGGGAGGAAGGAAACUGAUAGCUUUUUGUAUGUUACUUUUGGCUAAUGAGUGUUUUACUGUGUUGCUAGUCAUGGCACAAAUAGGCAUCUCUUCUGAAUGACACAAGGAAACACCUUCAAGACUUCCUUUCAUGUCCCAAUCCAUCAGAUUCACCUUGCAAUUAAUAAGCAACCACUUUGCCUGCAAUUAUAACAUAUUUUCAGAUUAAGGGAACAAAAACAUAUAUUAACAAUAUGACCAAUUGCAUUCAAUUAUAUAUAGUCAAGUCUUUUCAUGAAUCAACUGCAUAAUAAAUGGUUUCAUAAAUUACAUGUAAAAUGAUAAUUGAUGAAGGAUUCAUGUGCAUGCAUCUUGUCACUUGCAAGCAAAGGCAGUUCUAGAUAGAAGGGGAGAGUCCAAUAGGACGCUAAGUCGCUAAGAUGAUUGGUCGCACUUAGAUAAUAGCAUUUAAACAAAUAUGUAGGGCAAACUGUUAUCGUAGAUUUGAAAAAGUAAGAGCAUUUGAAUGGUAAUUUAAGAUCAAUCUGUGGUAUAAGUAUUCACGUUCCUAAAAAGGAAGCAAGUCAACAUAAUCAAUUUUAAUUUUAGGUCAUCAACUGAUUGCACCCAUACUAUAUAUAUAUUCUCUUCGUUCUCUCCUGCAUCGCUGUCACACACUCCAAGUUCGAUAUUUUUUUAUAAAGGGAUGAUGGAACAUGCGAUGAUACACAAUCAACAGUACUAAUCAGGUGCAACUGGACAGGUGAUACCACUAUCUACAAAAAUGUGGUUACUACUACUAGGAAUGUAAAUAUAUAUACACAAGAGACCUUGAUGUCAUUCUAUGGCAUCGCGGGUCUUUCAUUAGCUCCUAGCCACCUAUCUCAGAACAUGGAGUGUGAAUCAAACCCAUAAGGAACCCUGCCAGUGUGAAUCAAACCCAUAAGGAACCCGGCAGGGUUCCCCCAUGGACUUGGCCCGGACCUAAGUGAAAGUUUAAGUGGUGGACCCUCGCAUCCCAACCAGGGGUAUGCUGGGAUCGUAAAUUUCAGCACCUUACGAUGUUCAUGACCAAUCGGAUCCUGAGGUACCGGUAGGUACCAGAGGAGAUUGCUAUGAUCGUUACUAUAUCCGAAUUGAGGAGAUGCGAAAAAGUAGAACACAAUGAUUUUCGAGCAUCUAUUCUCGUAAAAUACACUACACAAGGAUUCUCUAUCCCGCACCCAGUUCAGUCCUUAUGAUUGAGGUUGAUUGGCUUGUACAAGGCAAGGUACCAAUUGAGGGCCCUUUACUAAGAUCAAUGUAGUUGUAUGUAAACCUAGAGCAAUGGCAUGGCAUGAUGAACCAAAACAAGAUCAUUAAUUGCAUCUAUUGCUAUCGCUUACCGUUGGAGUCAUGAAAUUAUGUGUUUAUAAACCCAGCAUUUACACUCAAGCAUUAAAGUCAAAAUAUGUAUUUAACUUCUGUACAUUAUACCCUAUAUAUUUAUUCUAGCCACUUCAUUACAGUUUAUUUAACAUUUUCAAACCCUUAUCAAAUACCUUACCUGUGUACAAGGUUGUUAAGCACAAGACAAACAUAAGGCACCAAACGUUUAUAUGCCUAAAGCGAACUAAACAAAUUUUAACAUUAGUACAUUACUCAUUAUAAGAAAAAUAUGUUUCAUAUGUUAUCACGUAUGUAACAACAAAUCAUGAUAUAGUCUUACAGAAAAAAUGAAGUCGAGAGCUAUACUGUUCGUCUGUUCUAUAGUCAUACAGUACAGGAAUGAAUAAAAUGUCACUAAACCAAGCAGUGGUUUCCAACCCUACUCAUUAAUGAUAUGAGACCUUAUUUCGCUUGAUCAUCAAAUUUAUUGAACAACUAAUGAAGAUUCAAGAUAAAGAACUACACGUUGAAGUCAUAAUCAUAUGAGCAUAUAGUUUAAACAAUUUAAAGUAAUCUGACGAAUCAAAUAUCUAAACCUAACUACACAGCCCACACUUGAAACAGAUCAAAACAGUUUAACUAUUGAGAACUAACAAUAUAUAUAGAGAUAUGAUAGAAUAAGGUUCCGACUUGUACCAUGUAUUCUUCUAUCUUUGUAGAAACCGAUUCCUGAUUAACUUCAUUGCUCAAUAGCUCUGUUCUAAUCCUUCCUUCCAAACUAUUGAUUGACAGUACACAAAGCAAGGCGAAUAAAGCAACAAUACGAACAAAUCGUCUCAUUUCCAAUAGUUGUAGUAAAAUCAUUGGUGAUAUAAACACAUUUUAUCUUGCUAUACAUUUCAUCGACUCAACCUAAGAUUCAAAUGAACAAAAUGUUGUUUCUAAGGAUAUCCAAUCAAACUUAUCUUUCUAAUGGUUUUAUGAUCCAAACAAUUAUAUUUCCAACAGAUCAGAACAAGCUCAAACGAACUGAUUCCUUCUUUCCAAUCAAGCUCGAACGAGCCAAAAUCCAACCUCUUCAGCUCAAAUUUCUUCUUUUCAAAUCAAAAUUUCUUCAAAUAACCCUAAAAUCUAACCAAAUAUCACCAAUUCUUGAUCAAUUUCUUCAAUUUCAAAACCAAAUCGUAUAUAAUCGAAUCUCUGAAACUACAAUUUCGUCUUUUCUAUAUCAAAUUGAAUGUCGAAAAAUCCAAAAACAAGGUCAAUUUCUACCAAAUUUAAACAAGUUUGUUGUAAAGUUGAAAUGAGAUCUAUUCGUAAAGGUAAUGAUGAAAUGAAAUAGAACUCUAUGUGAUGUUUGACCAGAAAACGAUAUUUUUGUCUUCGAAGAAAAAGGAAGAAAAAUGAUUAAAAUGUGGGUUUUUUUUUUUUUUUAAUUUAUUUAUUAAAAGGGUUUUGGAGAAAAUUCUUUAUUCUUAUGAAGACUGAGUUCAAUAACAACGCGGAAAGAGAAAGAGAAGACGUGAGGAGAAUAUUUAAUCCGAUUUUAUUUAUUUAUUUUCUAAUUUUACAUUAAUCUCGUUUUAAGAAUGAUAAGGAGUUAUUAAUUAUUACAGUAUAUGUAAACUUGUCCAGUUGUCAAAGAUUUUAAUCUAAUCUUCAUUCUUUCUAAUCUAACCUACACUGUUUCAUGAGUUGCAUGCAUGCAUAUUGCUUCUUCACAUCAUGGUUGAAAAUUUUAACACUAAUAACAAACUACAUGUCGGGAUUUUAUUAUGCCGAUGUUUUGAACAUUUGAGUAUGUUUUUAUCCAAUUUCUAGAAAAAAUAGAUAUAUUUUAUUUAUUUAAUAUUUGUGAGUAUCAACGAUAUUUUUAUUUACAUAACAUUGGUGAUCUCAAUCUUAUUAUAUUUUAUUUAUAAAAUUUGGCGAGAAGAUGAGUUAGAUGAAUAAUGUGUUUAAGGAUAUAACAAUCUAUACAAUUCACUAUGUAGUUUUUACUCGAUUUUAUUAACAUAGCAUGGAAUGUUGAGAUGGAUUUGAUUUGUGUGUUAAUGAGAAUAUUUAAUUUUGCUAGUAUAUUACUCGGUGCUAUGUGUGGGUUAGUAUGAACCCUCUAGAAGUUUAUUUAAAUCAAUGUUCUUCACUUGAUUGUCAUUCUCACAUGUAAACACAAGAAAAUAAAUUUCUAAAGGUUUCAUGCUUGGUGAUUACAUUUUCAAGUUCACACCAACUAAUAU